rnacentral:rRNA from 1 species
UACGGAGGGGGCGAGCGUUAUUCGGAAUUAUUGGGCGUAAAGGGCGCGUAGGCGGCCGGAUAAGUCAAAGGUGAAAUCCCUCGGCUCAACUGAGGAACUGCCUUUGAAACUGUUUGGCUCGAGUCCGGGAGGGGGUAGCGGAAUUCCCAGUGUAGCGGUGAAAUGCGUAGAUAUCCGGAGGAACACCGGUGGCGAAGGCGGCUUCCUGGACCGAUCACUGACGCUGAGGCGCGAAAGCUAGGGGAGCAAACGGG